rnacentral:rRNA from 1 species
CUACGGGUCGCUGCAGGCGAGAAAACUUUGCAAUGUGCGCAAGCACGACAAGGUUAAUCCGAGUGGUUUCUGCUAAAGGAACCUUUUGACAGUCCUAGAAACACUGUUGAAUAAGGGGUGGGCAAGUUCUGGUGUCUAGCCGCCGCGGUAAAACCAGCACCUCAAGUGGUCAGGAUGAUUAUUGGGCCUAAAGCAUCCGUAGCCGGCUCUGUAAGUUGUCGGUUAAAUCUGUACGCUUAACGUACAGGCUGCCGGGAAUACUGCAGAGCUAGGGAGUGGGAGAGGUAGACGGUACUCGGUAGGAAGGGGUAAAAUCCUUUGAUCUAUUGAUGACCACCAGUGGCGAAGGCGGUCUACCAGAACACGUCCGACGGUGAGGGAUGAAAGCUGGGGGAGCAAACCGGAUUAGAUACCCCCGUAGUC